rnacentral:rRNA from 1 species
UACAGAGGGGGCGAGCGUUGUUCGGAAUUACUGGGCGUAAAGGGCGCGUAGGCGGCCUCUUAAGUCGAACGUGAAAUCCCCGGGCUCAACCCGGGAACUGCGUCCGAUACUGGGAGGCUUGAAUCCGGGAGAGGGAUGUGGAAUUCCAGGUGAUAGCGGUGGAAAUGACGUAGAUAUCGGGAGGAACACCUGUGGCGAAAGCGGCGCACUGGACCACAACUGACGCUGGAGGCGACGAAAGCCUAGGGGAGCAAACAGG